rnacentral:lncRNA from 1 species
AAUGAGGGGGCGUUGGGCGCCACACCGCCAGCAACUCAGAGCUUCGAAGCGGAGAGCCGAAGAAAACCACUUGAGACAACUAUGAGGAGAGACGAGAAGAUAUCCUAUUUUGACUAUAUGCAACCCACCAGAGACCACUGGUGGAAAAAAACUAGAGCAAGAGACCGGAGCAUAAACUGCUCCAACUCGGGACCCGAAAAGAGAUCCAACCUCAACAACAAUCACGCGCCACGCUGACGGAGGAUGAAGAACUUGGAAGGGACCGCCAACAACCCAUGCACCACCUAACCAGAAAAAGGUAGACGAGAUAUAUAAAAAUCCUUACCAUACUGAGACUCCAAACGAGAGGAGGAGACAAGAGCGAUGAGCCAUCACUGUCUUCAAGCGUCGCCCACAACACCGAGAGCCUCCUAGAUCUACGCCGGGAGAGCCAGAUCUGAACCAAGAGGAGCAGAGACA